CACUGCCGAGAAAAGCCUCUAGAUAGAAAAUAGGUGCCCGUACCGCAAACCGACACAGGUAGUCAAGAUGAGAAUUCUAAGGUGAGCGAGCGAACUCUCGUUAAGGAACUCGGCAAAAUGACCCCGUAACUUCGGGAGAAGGGGUGCUCUUUAGGGUUAACGCCCAGAAGAGCCGCAGUGAAUAGGCCCAAGCGACUGUUUAUCAAAAACACAGGUCUCUGCUAAACCGUAAGGUGAUGUAUAGGGGCUGACGCCUGCCCGGUGCUGGAAGGUUAAGAGGAGUGGUUAGCUUCUGCGAAGCUACGAAUCGAAGCCCCAGUAAACGGCGGCCGUAACUAUAACGGUCCUAAGGUAGCGAAAUUCCUUGUCGGGUAAGUUCCGACCCGCACGAAAGGCGUAACGAUUUGGGCACUGUCUCAACGAGAGACUCGGUGAAAUCAUAGUACCUGUGAAGAUGCAGGUUACCCGCGACAGGACGGAAAGACC
rnacentral:rRNA from 1 species